rnacentral:rRNA from 1 species
AAUGAACGCUGGCGGCAGGCCUAACACAUGCAAGUCGAACGAGUGGCGGACGGGUGAGUAAUGUCUGGGAAACUGCCUGAUGGAGGGGGAUAACUAGUGAAAACGGUAGCUAAAACCGCAUACCAUCGGAUGUGCCCAGAUGGGAUUAGAUAGUAGGUGGGGUAAAGGCUCACCUAGGCGAAGAUCCCUAGCGGAUCUGAGAGGGUGACCAGCCACACUGGAACUGAGACACGGUCCAGACUCCUACGGGAGGCAGCAGUAGGGAAUAUUGCACAAUGGGCGCAAGCCUGAUUGAGCCAUGCCGCGUGAAUGAAGAAGGCCUUCGGAUUGUAAAAUUCUUUCAGCAGGGAAGCGUUACCCACAGAGAAAGCCCCGGCUAACUACGUGCCAGCAGCCGCGGUAAUUC